GCUGGGCAUGGUGGUGCAUGCCUGUAGUCCCAGCUACCUGGGAGGCUGAGGCAGAAGAACUGCUUGAGCCCUGGAGGCAGAGGUUGCAGUGAGCUGAGAUUGCGCCACUGCACUCCAACCUGGGCAACAGAGUGAGACUCUGCCUCAA
rnacentral:SRP_RNA from 1 species